rnacentral:rRNA from 1 species
GAGUCAGUCGAUCCUAAGCCCUAGGAGAAAUCCGAUGCAAACGGCGAUGGGAAAAAUUUCCUGACUGACUUGUUUAACAGAACAUUAAAGAGACCCAUUGAUCGGGCGAAAGGGAAUCCGGUUCCUAUUCCGGAACCCGGCAGCGGAACCGUUGUUUGUCGGGCCCUCGCAAGGGGUUCGUCAGGGCAACCUAAAAGGGCCCGGAGACGCCGUCGGGGGCCCCGGAAAGAGUUUUCUUUUCUGCAUGAGCGUUCGAGUUCCCUGGAAUCCUCUCGCAGGGAGAUAGGGUUUGGAACGCGAAGAGCACCGCAUUUGCGGCGGUGCACGGGAAUUCCCGAGGGACCUUGAAAAUCCGGGAGAGGGCCACGUGGAGGUGUCGCGCCGGCUCGUACCCAUAUCCGCAGCAGGUCUCCAAGGUGAAUAGCCUCUAGUC